rnacentral:tRNA from 2 species
GGGCGAUUAGCUCAGCUGGAAGAGCGCUUCCCUUACAAGGAAGAUGUCGGCGGUUCGAGCCCGUCAUCGCCCACCA